UACGUAGGGUGCAAGCGUUAAUCGGAAUUACUGGGCGUAAAGCGUGCGCAGGCGGUUGUGCAAGACAGAUGUGAAAUCCCCGGGCUUAACCUGGGAAUUGCAUUUGUGACUGCACGGCUAGAGUGUGUCAGAGGGGGGUAGAAUUCCACGUGUAGCAGUGAAAUGCGUAGAGAUGUGGAGGAACACCGAUGGCGAAGGCAGCCCCCUGGGUCAAGAUUGACGCUCAUGCACGAAAGCGUGGGGAGCAAACAGG
rnacentral:rRNA from 1 species